UACGGGGGGAGCAAGCGUUGUUCGGAUUUACUGGGCGUAAAGGGCGCGUAGGCGGCCUGUGCAAGUCAGUUGUGAAAUCUCCGAGCUUAACUCGGAACGGUCAACUGAUACUGCUCGGCUAGAGUGCGGAAGGGGCAACUGGAAUUCUUGGUGUAGCGGUGAGAUGCGUAGAUAUCAAGAGGAACACCUGCGGCGAAGGCGGGUUGCUGGGCCGACACUGACGCUGAAGCGCGAAAGCUAGGGGAGCGAACGGG
rnacentral:rRNA from 1 species